rnacentral:rRNA from 1 species
UACGUAGGGUGCGAGCGUUAAUCGGAAUUACUGGGCGUAAAGCGUGCGCAGGCGGCUUUGCAAGACAGAUGUGAAAUCCCCGGGCUCAACCUGGGAACUGCAUUUGUGACUGCAUGGCUAGAGUACGGUAGAGGGGGGAUGGAAUUCCGCGUGUAGCAGUGAAAUGCGUAGAUAUGCGGAGGAACACCAACGGCGAAAGCACUCUGCUGGGCCGACACUGACACUGAGAGACGAAAGCUAGGGGAGCGAAUGGG